rnacentral:rRNA from 1 species
AGAGUUUGAUCAUGGCUCAGGAUGAACGCUGGCGGCGUGCUUAACACAUGCAAGUCGAACGAUGAAGCCCAGCUUGCUGGGUGGAUUAGUGGCGAACGGGUGAGUAACACGUGAGUAACCUGCCCCCGACUCUGGGAUAAGCCCGGGAAACUGGGUCUAAUACCGGAUAUGACCUCGCACCGCAUGGUGCGGGGUGGAAAGAUUUAUCGGUGGGGGAUGGACUCGCGGCCUAUCAGCUUGUUGGUGAGGUAAUGGCUCACCAAGGCGACGACGGGUAGCCGGCCUGAGAGGGUGACCGGCCACACUGGGACUGAGACACGGCCCAGACUCCUACGGGAGGCAGCAGUGGGGAAUAUUGCACAAUGGGCGAAAGCCUGAUGCAGCGACGCCGCGUGAGGGAUGACGGCCUUCGGGUUGUAAACCUCUUUCAGUAGGGAAGAAGCGAAAGUGACGGUACCUGCAGAAGAAGCGCCGGCUAACUACGUGCCAGCAGCCGCGGUAAUACGUAGGGCGCAAGCGUUAUCCGGAUUUAUUGGGCGUAAAGAGCUCGUAGGCGGUUUGUCGCGUCUGCCGUGAAAGUCCGAGGCUCAACCUCGGAUCUGCGGUGGGUACGGGCAGACUAGAGUGAUGUAGGGGAGACUGGAAUUCCUGGUGUAGCGGUGAAAUGCGCAGAUAUCAGGAGGAACACCGAUGGCGAAGGCAGGUCUCUGGGCAUUUACUGACGCUGAGGAGCGAAAGCAUGGGGAGCGAACAGGAUUAGAUACCCUGGUAGUCCAUGCCGUAAACGUUGGGCACUAGGUGUGGGGGACAUUCCACGUUUUCCGCGCCGUAGCUAACGCAUUAAGUGCCCCGCCUGGGGAGUACGGCCGCAAGGCUAAAACUCAAAGGAAUUGACGGGGGCCCGCACAAGCGGCGGAGCAUGCGGAUUAAUUCGAUGCAACGCGAAGAACCUUACCAAGGCUUGACAUGUGCCAGACCGCCUCAGAGAUGGGGUUUCCCUUCGGGGCUGGUUCACAGGUGGUGCAUGGUUGUCGUCAGCUCGUGUCGUGAGAUGUUGGGUUAAGUCCCGCAACGAGCGCAACCCUCGUUCCAUGUUGCCAGCACGUAGUGGUGGGGACUCAUGGGAGACUGCCGGGGUCAACUCGGAGGAAGGUGGGGAUGACGUCAAAUCAUCAUGCCCCUUAUGUCUUGGGCUUCACGCAUGCUACAAUGGCCGGUACAAUGGGUUGCGAUACUGUGAGGUGGAGCUAAUCCCUAAAAGCCGGUCUCAGUUCGGAUUGGGGUCUGCAACUCGACCCCAUGAAGUCGGAGUCGCUAGUAAUCGCAGAUCAGCAACGCUGCGGUGAAUACGUUCCCGGGCCUUGUACACACCGCCCGUCAAGUCACGAAAGUUGGUAACACCCGAAGCCGAUGGCCUAACCACCUUGUGUGGGGGGAGUCGUCGAAGGUGGGACUGGCGAUUGGGACUAAGUCGUAAAAAGGUAGCCG